rnacentral:misc_RNA from 1 species
UCUCCGUAGGUGAACCUGCGGAGGGAUCAUUACAGAGUUCUCGCCCUCGCGGGUAGAUCUCCCACCCACUAUUAUCGUUACUGUGUUGCUUUGGCGGGCCGCCGGGCCCCGCUCGGCCGCCGGCUCCGGCUGGCGCGCGCCCGCCAGAGGCCCAGCAAACUCUGAAUGUUAGUGUCGUCUGAGUACUAUAUAAUAGUUAAAACUUUCAACAACGGAUCUCUUGGUUCUG